CACCCACUCUGUGGGCUAUGGUGCCGGCUCGCACCAACGUGCCUGCUGGGACCCCCAGGAGCAAAGUGAAAUAUUCAAUGCUCUCCAGCACUGACGAUGGACACAUGAACCCUCAGAAGGACACUUUACCCGCUGAAGAUUGCUGUAAACCCCGAAGAUGUCCCGGUGUGGCGAGAUCGCACUUACUAAAGUGUCAGGAAAGCCCCGCUAAGAUUCCCUACAAGGCCAUUGCCUGCUUCGCCCUGCAGUUUUUGAUAGGCGCUGUUCUCCUGAUCACCGGCUGCCUCCUGCUGGCGGGCUACCUCGGCGAAGCAGGACCCAACCGGGCCAUUGCCAUUCUCAUUGUGGGCAUCCUGGUGUUGCUGCCCGGGUUUUACCACCUGCUCAUCGCUUGCAAAGCCCGUCGAGGCUGCCCUGGCUACUCCUACCAAGACCUUCCGGACUGUGGCGACUAGCCCCACCGCAGCCAGGAGAGUGCGCUGGGGCUGCGCGGAGCUUCAAGGCAUUUGGCAGAAGCUGUAGAAAUCCAUGUCGAAGGAUUAAGGAAUUCUGCAAUUUUGCAGCUACUUGCAAAACUAUGGCCAGCUUUUAUAAUCCCUACCCAGAAUGUUAAUCGAAUUUAUAAUUAGACAAACAGGAUACCAGGGCAUGCUCUUAUUUUUAUUUUCCUGGCCCUGGCUAAAACCCCUGACAGAUUUCUCCACAGGAAUAUGAAUAAUGGAAGACUAGCAAUAUUGGUUUUAUGGGAAAGUAAAAAGUCAUUCUGUAGGACAAAAUGUUGCCUCCUCCACCCUAUUUAGAGAUGAGCAUUUCUUUAAAUAAAUAGUUCUU